UUGUUUUUUUUUUUGUUUGUUUUGUUUUUUGUUUUUUUUUUUUUUUGGUUUUUUUUUUUUUUUUUUUUUUGGUUCUUUUUUUCGGAGCUGGGGACCGAACCCAGGGCCUUGCGCUUCCUAGGCAAGCGCUCUACCACUGAGCUAAAUCCCCAGCCCCGUAGUCUUGGUUUUUUAACCAUAGCAAUAGUAACCCUAACCAGGACGUGUGUUUGCAUGCAUGUGUGCGUGUAUGCAUGCAUAUGUCUGUCCAUCCAUCCUCAAAUUGAAGGACCAUGGAAUAAGAAUCCAGGGAGGACUCCAAAGGCCACAUGCACUCAGCUGUAAUUCAAAUGAUGAUAGCUGGGAGUUAAGUGUUAGUGUGGGCUUUCUACUUUGAAAUUUUUAAUACAUGUCUAAUUACUUGGUAUUGCAUGGGAUGUAGCUCAGUGGCAGAGUGCUUGUCUAGCAUGGAUGAAGCCUUGGGUGUGAUCCUCAGCGUUACACAGUACUAAUUCCAGAUUACAGGUGGAGGCAGGAGGAUUAGAAGUUCAAGGUUCCCCUUGGCUACUUGGUAAAUCAAAGGCUAGUCUGGGAUACAGGACACUGUUAUGUUUGAGGCAAGAAGAGGACUCAUUGGGCCUUUCAGUUCCAGGGGAUACAUCUUGCCAGACAAGGAAGGCCUGAUGGCAGGAACAGGAAGCUUGCUGCCCUGGCUGCCUCCCAGUCAAAGCACACAGUGAACAGAAGUGGGACUGGCCUUUAAAACCUCAAGGCCCUCCCUCAGUGACUCCAGUGGGUUUCUGCCUCCUAAAGACACCACAGCCUUCCCAAACAGCACCACCAACUGGUAGCCAGUGUUCAAACACUGCUGAGGAGAACUGGCACGUCCAAACCACAGCAGAACUCAGAAACCUGCAUCGCUCUUCCCGAGGGUAAGAAGCUGCCGGGAGUACUUUCUCUGCAUGCACUUUUUCCAGAAUUGCUUGAAAACAAGUGGCAAGCAUGCUCCCCAUGCCACAAAAGACCACAAAGAACAUCCUUUUAGUAAUACAGAUGCCACAGAGCCAUUAGCACACAAGAUAGCUAGGUCAUUAUCUUAGAGAGAGAGAGAGAGAGAGAGAGAGAGAGAGAGAGAGAGAGAGAGAGAGAGAGAGAGAAUGUCACAGAUAUGGAAGACAGGAUAACUCUGCACUUGAAUCUCUCCUACCUUUUUCUGGGUUCUAGGGAUUAACAUCAGGUUAGGAGACUUGCACAGCAAAUCACUACUGAGCCAUCUUGCUGGCCCCAAUAAUGUCAUCUUCUAAUAAUGCAGUGCAUGUUAGAAUUUUCCUAUUUGGCCUGCAAAUGACUUACAAUUCUCAAAGUCCUCUGAUUAUUGUGUGCUGCAUUUAUCUUUUUUUUUUUUUUUUUUUUGGUUCUUUUUUUCGGAGCUGGGGACCGAACCCAGGGCCUUGUGCUUCCUAGGCAAGCACUCUACCACUGAGCUAAAUCCCCAACCCCACUGAGCUAAAUCCCCACCCCCCCUUUUUUUUUUUAAACACAGGGUCCCUGUUAAGGGACACACCGCCAGUUUUGGGGUUUUUUUGUUUUUUUUGUUUUUUUGUUUUUCUUUUCUUUUUCAGAGCUGGGGACUGAACCCAGGGCCUUGCGCUUGCUAGGCAAGCGCUCUACCACUGAGCUAAAUCCCCAACCCCGAAGGCAAGCACUUUUAUCCACUGAGCAAGCUAGCCAGCCCAACUUUAUCCAGUUUUUAGAUCUAGAACAGCCACCUGCCCUAUAACAUCACCUUGGCUACACUUGCUAACUUUUCCAAACUCCUUGAGCCUGGGCAUACGUCCCCCAGCCCAGCCUAGGCACCAACAUCUCAGGGUGUUUACUGUAGCAUGGUCUUCAAGUGCACAUGCCCUGAAAGGCGAAAGCUUUUCAUAGAUUGUGCACUUCCGUAGUAAAGUCACGCUGGUGGCUUAGAGUGAAUUCAGAACUGCCCAACAUUGAGAACUUGGUGUUGCAGUACUGUGCUCCAUGCCUUAUUCUAAGUCUCUUGUGCCACUAAUCCUGUACACAGAUGAGGAACUGCCAUCAGAGGUAAUGAAAUCAUCUUGCUCAAGGCCACACAGGAAGUUGUGAUGGAGCCAGGUGGUGAUCUAUAAACCUCUCCAUAGACACCCGGUGGCAUAGCUUCCCCUGGGGCACUGACUUAUUCUGAGGCAUCUGUUGUCACUGUUCUUUUUAACACAUCUACAGUAAUGUUCCAUCCAGGACAAUGACUUGAGGUCACCUGAGCACUGUUUCCGUGUCUGAAGCAUUGGUCUCACUUUUCUCACAAAAACCUCUGCAUAUGCAUCAUACCUAAAAGGUGGAAGGACACUUUGGGGCUAGUCUUAAAACAUCAUUUUGGAGCUGGGUGGUGAUGGAAGAGGCAGGUGGAUCUCUGUGAGUUUGAGGCCAGCCUGAUGUACCGAGUGAGUUCCAGGACAGACAGGGUGAAAACAGAAACCCUGUCUCUAAAAGACCAAACCAAGCCAACCAACCAACCAACCAACCAAACAAACAAACAAACCAUUUUGGAGCCCAGUAUGGUGAUAAGCCUUUACUCUAGAGGCAGAGGCUGAUGGAAUUCUGAGAGUUGGCGGCUAGCCUGGUCUACAACAGUUCCAGGCCAACCAGGGCUGUAUAGUGAGACACUGCCUUAAAACACAAUAACUUAACAUACAUUAUUUAUUUAUUUAUUUAUUUAUUUAUUUAUUUAUUUAUUUAUUUCUGCCUGCUUUAUUUUGAGGCAUGAUCUAGUCAUACCAGCCCUGGUUGGUCUGGAACUCACAAUGUAGAUCAGCUUAGCCUCAACCAUUUAGCAAUCUUCCUGUCUGUGCUCCCUGGAUACUGUCAUAUAGGUAUGCAAAAGUGAGCCCAGUAAUACUUUCUAAGUCUUACAUUUCAAAGUGACUGGUCCCUGCCCUUAGUAUGGUAGGGUUCAGAUCAUGAAGAGAUCUAAGACCCAUUAUUUCCAAUAAAUAUACCUAAAAGUCUUCAAAAUUAGUGAUGUGUGAAAAAAAAAGCGUAGUCUUGGGCAAGAUGUUCCAUUGUCAUAAACCUCAGUGGCUGCUUAGUAUACCAUGCAAGCAGAAGCCCUUGGCUGUGUACUGUCGAAGACGUUUCCCUCCCAGUGUGGUUGAUUAUGUCCACAGAUGAACUUAGGAAGUGAGUCAGGACCUGACUUUACAUCUUCAUAGCUUAACCACACCUAAAACUGUAGGACGAGGUUUUCAAAGCAGUAAGUAAUAGUUGAGCAUUUAGCAAGUACAGUCUCACACCAGCUUCCAGCUCUGCCGUGCAGCUUAGGAUUCCACUUUCAGAUCAGGGGGCCAAAAGGAACAGCAUGGCUGAAAUAAAUCUGCUGUUGAACUCAUGAAUGCAGCCAGUCCACAGCUAGUUCAGUGGCUCCGUGGUCCCUGUUUCCCCCUGAGGUGGAAUCAGCUACGCGUUUCAGGAGUGAAACCCAGCAUCCUGUUUUAUAUUCCCAAGAGUCCUAAUGUAUGAAAUCUGUGAAAACACCAGUGAGAUGUCUAAAGUGUCUCUGGAGCCAGAGCCCAGAACUGCAUGACCUUGGACAAACUACUGGAUGUGGCAAGGCCCUUCCCCUAAUGAAAAGAUUUCAGGGGACCAAUCACUGGGUGAGGAAUAGGAGGGACUUCCAGGUCGGAGAGGGGAAGCGAGGAGGAGAAAAGAGGGUAAGGGAGGAGAGGAAGGAGGAAGAUGGAGGAAGAGAAGGACGACCCAGAUCCGUGUGGCUUUCAGUAGCCACAGGUAGCUCUGAAUAUCUUAUAAGGGAUGGAUAAUAGCAGGACACUUUGUCUUAUCUAGGUGGGCAGUUUAUAUCAAUAUCAAUUGGCUCUGAGUUUAUUGUGUGGAUGUUUUGUAGGGUGAGAAUUUACUGAUAUAACUCUGAUUGGUAACUUACAAGCCUCUGGAGUUUUGCUCUUGCCAGGGUACAGAGAUUUGUGGCAGCUAACCAUAGUUGUUACACAGGGCUGGCAUUGCAGUGGCCCAUCAAGGGAACAUAGCAAGUUGGGUGAAGACAUUUUGAGAACUCUGGACCAGAGAGAGGGUCUAAUGAGGUGGGAACAACCAACUGGUGCCAUGUGGCCCGCCGGUGUCCGGCAUAGUGUGGGAUAGAAAAUCCAUUUUUUAUUAUUUAACACCAUAGGUAGCGCCCAACAUGGGGCUAGCCGUAGAGGCAGCGAGACUGCUGGGACCAGAGAGGAGCCAGCAAUAGCGUGGGAUGGUAAAUCCUUUUUAAUUAUUUCCUGCUACAACUGGACCUCUGUUUUCCUCAUCAAUAAAUAAGAGUGUCUGCUUUAUGAUGUGUUGUGAAGAUUAAAUAAUACCCUAAAACUUGGGAACAGACUUGGAAUUGGAGGUACUAACCUCUCUAUCAUUGACUCCCUCUUGCAGGAUACUUGUUCAUACUGUGAGCCCCAAGAUUGUGAACUGGAAAAAAACCUUAUUGAGAUAUGGUUCAGCCCUAGCACAUACCUUUUAUCAAAAGCUUUCUGUAAACAAGAGCUAAAUGAAGUCAAAGAUAAGUCAAGAGGCAGAGCAAGCAACCAGUUGACAAGGACUGAUCAUAAGGAAAACGAGGAAAGAGAAAGGAGAAUCUUGGAGCUGAAAGUAUUUAAGGUAGUGUGGAAAAGAAGCCACCUUUUCCUUAUGGGAUGUUGAUGGAGUAGGAAGGUCAACGUUCUCUCUGCCUCUCUGAGCUAGCAGCCUUUCACACAGCAUCUGGCUGCCGAGUCUUCAUGGCAAAAUUGAACAGCUGGGGUUUUUUGUUUUUUAAAACAACAUCUCCCACCUCUCAAAAGAAUCACCAAAGAGUUGGGCAGUGUUGGAACACACCUUUAAUCCCAGAACUCAGGAGGAAGAGGCAGGUGAGUCUCUUUUGAGACCAGCCUGGCCUACUGAGUGAGUUCAAGGGAUAAAGAGAAUCUCUUUUGCACUGUGUGGAAGCAUUGCUUAUAAAUAAAAAGCUGAUGGCCUAUUAGCAAAAGGCAGGAAGAAAUAGGUGGGAGUUCCGGUAGAGAUUUAGAACUCUGGGAGAGAGACAGAGGCAAGAGAUUUUGCCCAGCGCAGGAAACUGGGGAGAGGUAUAAGGGUCUGUGAUUUGUGAAGAUUGAUACCCCAGACUCAAACAGUGUGCGGUAGCAAAGAGCAUUUAUCCUGCAGAGGUCCAGCAUGCAGGGGUCUACCACACAGGUAGGCUUUGCAAUUUAAAGCCUGUUAGGGUAGGAGUAGGCGAGUUUUACCUUUCUUUCCCUUGAUUGGUUGUCUCUAUCUCCAGGGAGUAUAGGUGCCAAGGUGUCACUAAGGCUCUGGGGGGAUUUAGGGGACUUUUGCUGAUUAACUAUACUGGGCUCAAGCUAUGUGGUAAGGCAUCUUCUACAACUCCUGACUGACUGCUCCUGAGGUUAGAUCAGGCUAAGUAGUGGGGCAGCUUCCUGAUUGGCUGACUGUGGGAUGAUGUCAUACAGGUAAGGCAGGUACAAGAUAGAAUGAGGCCUGUCGUUGGAUGAGAAGGAAGGAUGGACAGGAGAAAAGUUUGAGGGAAGAGGAGAAGACUGGAACGGAAAAGGACGGGAGACAGGAGGGAACUGCAGGAGAAGCCGUAGAGAGAACAUGGAGGCUGAUGUUAAGAUUCCACUCUGUGUAUUUACAGAUCCACACAGGAGAGAGCACUGUUCAGCCAGCAAGAUCUGAGACCAUCGACAAUCAGCCAUACGCAACCCAGGCCAGGCCACAAUCGGGACAGCUUCUCCUACCCUGCCCUGGAAGGAGAGAAGCUGGGGAGAAUAAAGAUGACGGCUGUGAGAGAGGCUGCCGGAAUCAGCCAGUGGAGAUAGGGAAGAGAAGGAGAGAACCUCCGGCGGCCUGAGGAGGCAGCGGACACUCCCAGAGUCCUGCCAGCUCCUGGGAAAACAUCAGGCCUUUGUUCCCAGUCAUUCUCUGUCUCUUCCUGUUUCUUUGAACUGAGUCAAAGAGCUGAUGUGAGGGAAAUGGGAAUUAUAGAAAAUAGCGGAUGUUAUAUGGUAGAGACAGGCAGAGGUAGAUUUGGAGGUUCCUGUCCUGGGGCCUCAAAGGCCUCUUUGGUCCACUCAUUUGGGCUUACAACAAGAUGCCGCCCCUGCUGAACUCUUGGUAGCCCAAGUUUCAGCUAAAGAUCCUGCUUGAAGCCAUACAGCAUGUUAGUGGAGGUUAGCUUCCACCUGGACCUUAAACCUUAACCUAGUUCUUACCCUCCUCUCUCCUCAACCUCAGUGAUGUCCUACGAGGAGGCCACUCCAAGAGACCACACUAGACACAUUUGAGACUGUCACCUCAGCAGUAAAUUCCUCAAGCCACCAAGAAACUUAAAAACAAGAGAUCUGUGGCCUGCCUUUACCUCAGAAAAGCCAUGUGAAAACCCAGGAGGCGGGGUGGGGGCCCAGGGCGUGGGCCCCAGCUUCAGAGGGUCGGAAACAGGAUGUGAGCAGAGAGGGGGGUGUGAAAAAUCAAGGUGGCUUCCAGCAGAAGGGGGCCACUUGGCACUGUGUGUUCUUAACUGUGGAAAAAGACCCUGGGCUAUGUGGGUGGCAUCACAUCCUGCAGCUAACCAGCCCUCUGGGCCCCCCAUGCCCCCCGCCCCCAGCCUUGCCUAGCUCCCUUUCAGAGCACGAUCUGACCCCUGGGCUUGGGGGCAGGUUGAGCACAUCUGGAGAGAGAAGGAUGUGACCUUUCAGAGGGAUGGGAUUAAAUGAGUGUUCCUGACUCCCCUGGGAAGCCUGGUAUUUGGUAAAUGUGAACAUAAAACAGAGCAGGCAGAGUGGGCUGUCCAUUCAUCCAAUGAAUGGAAAAAAACAGUGACAUCCAGGCAUUAGCUGGCAUGACAGAGUAGAACCGCCAAGGCCUACUCCCUGAUGUCAGGGAGCCCUGGUGGGUGGACAUAGAAUAUGACCUAAAAGGGGCAGAGGACCUAGGUUCUGAGUGGCUCAGGGACAAGCCUCUGAUUCAGCCUGGGCAUGUGCAGUAAAGGCUUCUGGGAAGAAGUAAGGCCUAAGAGGAGUCUCAGAGGAUGGGCAGGUGUGUGUACAAGUGUACAUGCAUGUGUGCAUGUGCUUGUAUAUGUGCACACCUGUGUGUUAGUGUGUCUUUAUCUUUGUGUGUGUGUGAGUCUAUGUUUCAGUGUGUGGAUGUGAAGGUGAGGAGACAUUGUGAGCCUAUAGUGUGUGUGUCUGUGUGUCAUCAGGGCUGUCUGCUCACAAGAGCCCACUCCUUUGACUUACACCGGGGUUUUCUGACACCGCCUUCUAACCUGGCUUCUCCACGAAGCUGAGGGGUUGUCCCUAAAAGCUUGGUAUGGCUCCCCAAAUCACCAUCAGCCACCUGAUGAACCAAGGCUUCCCACUUGGCUUAACCCCAGACUCCCACCAGGAACCCUUUCAUAUUCAGUUUUAUAUAGAAUCUAGACCUUUUUCUUUUAUUAUUUAGUUUUGAGACAAUGUUGUACACUGUGACCUUUUUUUCCCCUAAGACAGGGUUUCACUGUGUAGCCCUGUCAUCCUGGAACUCACUUUGUAGACCAGGCUAUGUUCUUAUUUUUGAAGCAUCCUUUUUCCAACUUGGCUUGGAGUUUGUUUUAGAUCAGUGGUCUGAGUGGCCAUCCUCUGAACCAAGCAACCACUAUCCUGAGGAGUUCUACUGUGCCCUCUUACAAAAUGAUUGUCCUAGCAGACUGUUUACGCCUCCCAUGGAGGGAUCAUGAAACCUUCACCAGAGUAUCCGGUCACUCCCUGUCGUAUAUGCAACUCUGUCUUAAUUGAUGUGGCUUCUGAGAGAAACUAGAGAAUAUGGGGAGGGAGGUCCUCAUCCGUACUGGGUAAAUGCUUUCCAGGUAGGGUGAGGGAGGGGGCAGGGAGUGGGACACACCCUUGUAAGCAGACCCUCAUCUAUGGCCUAUAAGGAAGUCCACUAAACUCAUUGCUUCCCCAGAGUGAACUUUGGUGGGCUGGUGCCUCAGUCUGUUAUCAAGACCUUAUGAGGUAAACAUUGUAUAUGUCUCUUUAGAAUAACAUAGGUAUAAAGUCAACAGUAUUAGUAUUAGUAUAUGCCAUUUGUAGAGGGUAUGCGUAUACAACCUUUCCCACAUUUGUGGCUGUCAGAUGACAAUUUGGUGGCACUGGUUCUAUCCUUCCACCAUGUGUGUUCCUGGGGUAGCUUGCAGGUCCUCAGUCUUGGCAGAAAGCGCCUUUACCUCCUAAGCCAUCUCUCUGGCUCUCAUCUUCUCAAAUAGAGCCUUUCAAGGACUAUUUCCACCAACAGAGACCAUGCUAAGUUGGAAGUCUUCAUAUGAGUCUCUGCCUUUGCACCGCUCAUGUUCCAACAGUGUCCUCGGGACACUCCUGGCAGAGGGCCCUGUUCUCGAAUCUACCUGCUCUGCCCACUGCCUAGUGGGUGGCAUACUCUUCUCGUUCGGUGGGUAAACUGACAUUCUCUCACACUGUGGCCAGCGACGUCGACACUCCUGGGAACACAGUAUGCUUGAGUCUUCUUCCCUUUAUUGAUGACUGAUUGGUUUUUGGCUCACACCCUUACUUUCCUAGUUUAUACCUCCUUUCUUCCUUGAAGUUUGUGUAGCUCCUAGAGUUUGGAGCUAUCCUGAGCAUUCAGAACCUUUAGGAUGCUGUUGGCAGGACUUUAGAAGGCUAUCAUCAGGCUCUUUGCUUUCUAGAAAGUUAUGUCAGCAGCGAUGGAAGGCACUUCCACCACACCCUCCUGUCCCAAGAUGGCCUCAAAGGUGUCCACCAUGCACUGUCCAAAAGUGCUGGAAUCUUUUAAUAUGAACAAUGAUUUAAAACCUGCCCUCCUGGGUUGGGGAUUUAGCUCAGUGGUAGAGCGCUUGCCUAGCAAGCACAAGGCCCUGGGUUCAGUCCCCAGCUCCGAAAAGAAGAAAAAAAAAAAAACCUGCCCUCCCAUUGAUUACUGAAUGAAUAGACGAAAAGAUGGAUUAGAACCUUUGCUUAUUUAUGGGUGCUUUGCCUGCAUGUAUGUGUGCCUGGUUCAUCCUGGAACUGGAGUUAGAGAUGGUUGUAAGCUCCUAUAAGGUUCCAGGGAAUCCAACCCAGAUCUUCAGGAAGAACAGCCAGUACUUUUUUUUUUUUUUUUUUAUUAACUUGAGUAUUUCUUAUAUACAUUUCAAGUGUUAUUCCCUUUCUCGGUUUCCGGGCAAACAUCCCCCUAAUCCCUCCCCCUCCCCUUCUUUAUGGGUGUUCCCCUCCCCAUCCUCCCCCCAUUGCCGCCCUCCCCCCAACAGUCUAGUUCACUGGGGGUUCAGUCUUAGCAGGACCCAGGGCUUCCCCUUCCACUGGUGCUCUUACUAGGAUAUUCAUUGCUACCUAUGGGGUCAGAGUCCAGGGUCAGUCCAUGUAUAGUCUUUAGGUAGUGGCUUAGUCCCUGGAAGCUCUGGUUGCUUGACAUUGUUGUACAUAUGGGGUCUCGAGCCCCUUCAAGCUCUUCCAGUCCUUUCUCUGAUUCCUUCAACGGGGGUUCUAUUCUCAGUUCAGUGGUUUGCUGCUGGCAUUCGCCUCUGUAUUUAACAGCCAGUACUCUUAGCUGCUGAGCGAUGCCUCUAGCUCAAGUCAGAACCUUUAAGCCAUCUUUUUGUUGUUGUUAUUUUAAAUCAAGUCUUUUUUCCCUGACCUAGAACUUACUGUGUAGACCAGACUGACCUUGAACUCACCAAGAUCUGCCUGCCUCUGACUUCCAAGCACUGGAAAUAAGUGCAUACUUGGCUGUAUAUUUUGUUCUUAUUUCAAAUUAUUUAAUCCCUGUCUUAGGGUUCCUAUUCCUGCACAAACAUCACCACCAAGAAGGAAGUUGGGGAGGAAAGGGUUUAUUCAGCUUACACUUCCACAUUGCUGUUCAUCACCAAAGGAAGUCAGGACUGGAACUCACACAGGGCAGGAAGCAGGAGCUGAUGCAGAGGCCAUGGAGAGAUGUUACUGGCUUGCUUCUCCUGGCUUGCUCAGCUUGCUCUUAUAGAAUCCAAGGCUACCACCCAGGGACAGCACCGUGAACAAGGGGCUGGGCCCUGCCCCCUUGAUCACUAGUUGAGAAAAUGCCUUACAGCUGGGUCUCAUGGAGGCAUUUCCUCACCUGAGGCUCCUUUCUCUGUGCUAACUCCAGCUUGUGUCAAGCUGACACACAGAACCAGCCAGUACACUGCCCAUGGAUUGUAGGAGUUUGAAUGAGAAUAGCCUCCAUGGGCUCAUAUUUAAAUUCUCGGUCCUCUGUGGGUGCUACUACCACAGGCGCCUAGAGGACGGCAAGGGAAGCUUUCGUAUCACCCUGACAAUACAACUGCCCAUGUCUGCUGGCAUUCCUUGUGAUACAAAGUAGAGGAUCCUAGCAAACUAGGGGAACUCAGAAGAGGUUCAGAACAGGGUGGUGUCUGCUGCUUCUGUCUUUAUGUAAGUCUCCUCGGAUGCUGGCAGCCUGUCACCUCCUCACUGUGCCAGUGGGUGGUUCGCUACUCCAGAGCUCAGGUUGAUUCCCCAUUGGUCCGAAGUGUAUAUAAAACUGCUUGUGGCUUCUCAGUACAAUAGAUCUGUUUCCCAGUUCGUGGUGACUCUAUCUCCCUCACCCUCUUCAUUUCCCACAGUCCUCAGUUAGUGGACCUGUUUGGGAGAAAUCAAGAGGCAUAGCCCUGUUGGAGGAGGUGUGUCAUUGGGGUGGGCUUUGAGAUUUCAAAAGCCCAUAUAGGCCCAGGCUGUCUUCUCUUCCUGCUGCCUUCGGAUCAGGACGUAAAGCUCUGAGCUACUGCCCCAGCACCAUGUCUGCCUGUGUUUUGCCAUGCUCCCCACCAUGAUGAUGACGGACUAAGCCUCUGAAGCUCUAAGCCAGCCCCAAUUAAGUGCUUUAUCUUUUAAGACCAAGACACUGGACAGGAAACAAUUCUCUUUGACCUCAGCUCUGUUUAUCCUGCAAUCACACUGCAGAGCUCUCACAAAUUCCUUUGGGGUUUGGCCUCAGUGUCCUAGAGAUAACCUUACUUGUUUGUUUUGUAGCAUCUGGCUGAGGCAACAGCUUUUGAUCAUCAUUUCACUGAAGUUUCUGGAGUAUGAAAAGGCAAAGAUUGACGUGUGAUCUCAAUUUUGCUUACCUUGCUGACUUCUCUGGGAUAGGGUUAGGGGAUAGGGUUAGGGUUAGGGGUUAGGGAUAGGGUUAGGGGUUAGAGUUAAGGGUUAGGGAUAGGGUUAGGGCUAGAGUUUAGGUUUAGGGUUUAGGGGUAGGGGUUAGGGUUAGAGGUUAGUGGUUAGGGUUAGGGUUAGGUAUAGGGUUGGGCUUAGGGUUAGGGUUAGAGGUUAGAGUUAGGGUUAGUGUUGUUUUCUUUUCUUUUCCUCCUUAUCUCUUCUUUCUCCCAGGAAGUACCAGCCCUCCUGGAACAGGGAGCCAUAGUUAUUCUUGUCCAUCUUUCUUCUCCAAGGAGUGUUUCACUCAGCAGUGUGAUGGGCUCAGCCAUUUUUACGGUUUUAUAUUUCAUUGCUAAGAUGUCUAGUGUUCUAAGAACCACUUCCUGUGACCUUGAUGGGUGUUCAGUGCUAACAGUCUCGUGGCAAUCAUGCUGGAUGGACAGACAGCUGUGUGCAUGGAAUGACACAGCCCUCCUUACAGUCAGAUGAUUACAUUCAGGACAUUGGAAUAUAAGCCAGUAAUCCAUUCUGAAAGUUCCUAAAGAGAGAUCUUUCUUUUCCCCUUUCUCUGUUUUAUUGUCUGAAGUGUCAGUGUGACAGCAUGAGCUGUAGCAGGUAUUGUAGACUAUGAGGCAAACUUGGAAAUGGGUGCCAUGCCCUGCAGAGGUAAGGAUGGAAGGAGUCAGUGCUUGGGAGCUUUGAGGUGAACCUCCAUGCCAACCUUGAGCUCCUACCUAAUGCUCAGCUGCUGUCCCUCAGUUACUGUCGAAUUAAAUCUCUUCGCUGUGGUUUGAGUGUCCAUUUC